rnacentral:lncRNA from 1 species
GUCAAAAUGGCUAAUAUAUAUACUAUAAGAAUAUGGAUGAUGUUGGCAAACGACUCGUGCCGACCAAUAAAUGUGAUUAACCUAUAUGUAAUCUUGGAAACUAAUGAUCCGUGGACAUGUAGGUGAAAUAUUUCAUGCUUUUUUUUUUCUUAAAUAAUGAUUUUAGGACCAUUUUAAAAAUAAAAAUAAAUUAUAUAUAUUCGAGGCCCCCAAAGAGAAGAAAAUAACAAGUACAGUAGUAUAUGAUUUUGACGUUUAAUUUCCU